rnacentral:rRNA from 1 species
UGGGAACCUUCCCUAUGGUUCGGAAUAGCUCAGGGAAACUUGGGGUAAUACCGGAUAAGCCCUUCGGGGAAAGAUUUAUCGCCAUUGGAUGGGCCCGCGUCGGAUUAGCUAGUCGGUGAGGUAACGGCUCACCAAGGCAACGAUCCGUAGCUGGUCUGAGAGGACGAUCAGCCACACUGGGACUGAGACACGGCCCAGACUCCUACGGGAGGCAG